CUAGACUUGCCACAAGUCGACCAUGGGGGAGGGAGGGCGCGGGGGAGGGAGCGCGCGACCCGAGCGACGAAGUCGCGAGUGGUCGACUUGUGUCGCUUGCAGGAAUUUAAAUCGCAUUAAAAAUUUUGGCGCGAAUAAUUUUGACAUAUUAAAAAGGGUGUGUACAUUUCAUACAAUUGCUUCACCGCGCGCCGUCAAUGGGUCUACAAAAACAUUCUCAAGAAUUGAUAUUUCUUUGUCCUCGAAUGAAACAGUUUGCACCGAGUGUGGAAACGAAAUAACUGACCCAAGUAAGCGCCGAAGAAAAUUGAUUAAGUUCGCGAGCGAUUUAACGUAGUAGAAGUUAAUCUAAUUGAAAAGAAUCAAGC